GACGAACGCUGGCGGCGUGCUUAACACAUGCAAGUCGAACGGAAAGGCCCUGCUUUUGUGGGGUGCUCGAGUGGCGAACGGGUGAGUAACACGUGAGUAACCUGCCCUUGACUUUGGGAUAACUUCAGGAAACUGGGGCUAAUACCGGAUAGGAGCUCCUGCUGCAUGGUGGGGGUUGGAAAGUUUCGGCGGUUGGGGAUGGACUCGCGGCUUAUCAGCUUGUUGGUGGGGUAGCGGCUUACCAAGGCUUUGACGGGUAGCCGGCCUGAGAGGGUGACCGGCCACAUUGGGACUGAGAUACGGCCCAGACUCCUACGGGAGGCAGCAGUGGGGAAUAUUGCACAAUGGGCGGAAGCCUGAUGCAGCAACGCCGCGUGCGGGAUGACGGCCUUCGGGUUGUAAACCGCUUUCGCCUGUGACGAAGCGUGAGUGGCGGUAAUGGGUAAAGAAGCACCGGCUAACUACGUG
rnacentral:rRNA from 1 species